rnacentral:rRNA from 1 species
AGAGUUUGAUCCUGGCUCAGAAUCAACGCUGGCGGCGUGCCUAACACAUGCAAGUCGAACGCGAAAGUGGAGCAAUCCAUGAGUAGAGUGGCAAACGGGUGAGUAACGCGUGGGCGACCUACCUCAGAGUGGGGGAUAACCUUCCGAAAGGAGGGCUAAUACCGCAUGACAUACCGUGUUUGGAUACACGGAUAUCAAAGCCGGGGAUCGCAAGACCUGGCGCUUGGAGAGGGGCCCGCGUCCGAUUAGCUAGUUGGUGAGGUAACGGCUCACCAAGGCUCCGAUCGGUAUCCGGCCUGAGAGGGCGGACGGACACACUGGAACUGAGACACGGUCCAGACUACUACGGGAGGCGGCAGUGGGGAAUUGUUCGCAAUGGGCGCAAGCCUGACGACGCAACGCCGCGUGGAGGAUGAAGACUUUCGGGUCGUAAACUCCUUUCGACCGAGAUGAAUUUCCCACGACCUAACACGUCGUGGGAGUGACAGUAUCGAGGGAAGAAGCCCCGGCUAACUCCGUGCCAGCAGCCGCGGUAAUACGGGGGGGGCAAGCGUUGUUCGGAAUUACUGGGCGUAAAGGGUUUGUAGGUGGCUUGUUAAGUCAGACGUGAAAUCCCUCAGCUUAACUGGGGAACUGCGUCUGAUACUGGCGAGCUUGAGUGCAGGAGAGGAACGCGGAAUUCCAGGUGUAGCGGUGAAAUGCGUAGAUAUCUGGAGGAACACCGGUGGCGAAGGCGGC